rnacentral:misc_RNA from 1 species
UCUCCGUUGGUGAACCAGCGGAGGGAUCAUUAUCGAGUUUAUAACUCCCAAACCCUAUGUGAACUUACCACUUGUUGCUUCGGCGCGCGCUUCGGCGCCGCCGAGGACACUUAAACUCUUUGUUUUUAUAAGCAUUUCUGAGUGGCCGAAAGGCAAAAUACAAAUGAAUCAAAGCUUUCAACAACGGAUCUCUUGGUUCUG